rnacentral:misc_RNA from 1 species
GAUGAAGAACGCAGCGAAAUGCGAUACGUAAUGUGAAUUGCAGAAUUCAGUGAAUCAUCGAAUCUUUGAACGCAUAUUGCGCUCUUUGGUAUUCCGAAGAGCAUGCUUGUUUGAGUAUCAGUAAACACCUCAACCUCUUCUUGAUUUUUCAAAAGGAGGGUGGACUUGAGCUAUCCCAACAACCUUUACCGGUCGGCGGGCGGCUUGAAAUGCAGGUGCAGCUGGACUUUUAUCUGAGCUAAAAGCAUAUCUAUUUAGUCCUCGUCAAACAGGAAUAUUACUUUUGCUGCAGCUAACAUAAAGGAUAAUUGUCCUCUUUGCUGACUGAUGCAGGAUUUUACGACACUUUAUGUGUUGUUCAACUCGAUCUCAAAUCAAGUAAGACUACCCGCUGAACUUAAGCAUAUCAAUAAGCGGAGGA